rnacentral:rRNA from 1 species
UAGGGAAUCUUCCACAAUGGACGCAAGUCUGAUGGAGCAACGCCGCGUGAGUGAAGAAGGCUUUCGGGUCGUAAAACUCUGUUAUUGAAGAAGAACGUGUGUGACAGUAACUGGUCAUGCAGUGACGGUAUUCAAUCAGAAAGUCACGGCUAACUACGUGCCAGCAGCCGCGGUAAUACGUAGGUGGCAAGCGUUGGUCCGGAUUUAUUGGGCGUAAAGCGAGUGCAGGCGGUCUUUUAAGUCUGAUGUGAAAGCCUUCGGCUUAACCGAAG